rnacentral:rRNA from 1 species
AACGAACGCUGGCGGCAUGCCUAACACAUGCAAGUCGAACGAGACCUUCGGGUCUAGUGGCGCAUGGGUGCGUAACGCGUGGGAACCUGCCCUUAGGUUCGGAAUAACUCCCCGAAUGGGGUGCUAAUACCGGAUAAUGUCUUCGGACCAAAGAUUUAUCGCCUUUGGAUGGGCCCGCGUUGGAUUAGCUAGUUGGUAGGGUAAAAGGCUACCAAGGCGAGGAUCCAUAGAUGGUUUGAGAGGAUGAUCAGCCACACUGGGACUGAGACACGGCCCAGACUCCUACGGGAUGCAGCAGUGGGGAAUAUUGGACAAUGGGCGAAGGCCUGAUCCAGCAAUGCCGCGUGAGUGAUGAAGGCCUUAGGGUUGUAAAGCUCUUUUACCCGGGAUGAUAAUGACAGUACCGGGAGAAUAAGCUCCGGCUAACUCCGUG